rnacentral:rRNA from 1 species
AUUGAACGCUGGCGGCAGGCCUAACACAUGCAAGUCGAACGGUAACAGGAAGAAGCUUGCUUCUUUGCUGACGAGUGGCGGACGGGUGAGUAAUGUCUGGGAAACUGCCUGAUGGAGGGGGAUAACUACUGGAAACGGUAGCUAAUACCGCAUAACGUCGCAAGACCAAAGAGGGGGACCUUCGGGCCUCUUGCCAUCGGAUGUGCCCAGAUGGGAUUAGCUAGUAGGUGGGGUAACGGCUCACCUAGGCGACGAUCCCUAGCUGGUCUGAGAGGAUGACCAGCCACACUGGAACUGAGACACGGUCCAGACUCCUACGGGAGGCAGCAGUGGGGAAUAUUGCACAAUGGGCGCAAGCCUGAUGCAGCCAUGCCGCGUGUAUGAAGAAGGCCUCGGUUGUAAGUACUUUCUAGCGGGGAGGAAGGGGAGGUAAAAGGUUUAAAGUAACCUUUA